AUCUCAUAGCUAAUAGUGACUUGACGUCGAUGGAGAAUUUCAUGUCAAAGCUAACUGUAGAUUAAUGAAAAUGAAUUUUCCUGUGAGGUUUUGGACCUUCUUGGUUAGAGGUCUGUUCAGGGAACUGUUUUUCUUGGUAUCAAGGGACUUCUUAAAUCCGUAUUUUGGUCUCUGAUUAUUCUGCCAAUGACACGUACACAGUUCUGGUGUUCGGCAAUGGCUGGAUUUGUUGACAACCAUACUGAAUGGUUCAGGUUUAGUGGCUGUGUUGUUGGACUGGCUUUGGUUCGUCAACACCUGUGAGUGCUGUUUUCACACGCCUUUUUUAGAAAGCACGUCUGAGAUUUAUCUUGUCGUGACGUGGUGCCGCUGAGAGUUCCAUCAAAGCUCUUCAAGGAUUAAUGAUUAUUGAACUUCUUUCGAGGUUUUGGACCUCACAUUUGCUGUGACCAUAGGGCAUAUUCCGACAGGUAAAGAGAGCUUAAACCUGGAGGUCGGAAUAUGAAUGAUAGUGAUGCUAAUAAAAAGGACUAUUUGAGGAAAGUUGUGCGUUAAAGGCUGGAACUCAUUUAAAGGAUUGUAUGAAGUUGUUAUCUUUGUCUCGUGUUUGUAUUCGAGAACUUAAGCUAUUGAUCUGACAACGCUGAAAUAGAUUUUAGCUGACUAGUGGAAAAAUACUGAAAAUGGAACUGGUUUCCAUGACAUUAAUCAUGUUAUGCAGUAGUUUUGGUCUAUGCUUAAGCAUUUGGGCAUUUAACAAAGACAAAUGCUAUUACAGUUUGUGACUGAGACAUCCAGUACCCCAUAUGAAGGGUGUGCAGCUUUUCAAGGUUCCACUGGCCCAAAAAUAAUUUGGACAGAGAAGUGGGGAAAGCCCCAUAGCUUGCCAAGAUGCCGAAGCCUAUUCUUAAAGAUCCUGGCAGUUAUUAGUUGCAUUUAGUUAAAUUCCGAGGUGGAGUCUAAGUUCAACAACUAUUCCACAGGCUAACUGUUAUACUUUCUUACUAUGGCAAACAGCAAGUUUUCUUCAGCUGGCAGCAGCCUAAAGACCGCCUAAAUGCUCAAAGACGAUAGAAUAACUGAUUCAUUAGGACAGGAGGCUUUGCCAAUUGAACUAAACGGCAUGCACAGAUUAUGAUGGGUAAUUAUGUGCAAGUAUUCACCAUAUCAAUCAGGUGCCAUGCUGGUCAGCACACACACUUCAGUGAACGCUGUACUUCAGAGUCGAAGCAGUGAGAUGCAGCAUCCAAGAUUGGAGUCCUGGCUGCUUCAAUCUAAUCUGCGAAGAGAGUGGUGGACGCAUCACAUUGACCAGCUUGUCAAGCCACAUGCUUAACCCGUAAUUGUUCUAUUGUGAGUAAGAAUAUAUCCUAGUACUGUAUAUUCUGAGAGUGGCGGACAAGAGUCAAGUGUCCUUGCCAUAACUGCACUUUUGUGCACUAGAUGACCACGUUAAAUAUUAUGUUAAUCUUGUGAACCAAUUCCAUUAUGAGCUUGUGCUUCAUUAUUGUGCUUGGCUAGAGCUGCCUUCAACACUGGCUCUUGUCUAUGAUUGACAAUGGCUUUUUGACUAGGUUUUUAAUUUGUAGAGCAGUUGCUAACGAAUAGGUCUUCAAAUUCUCAAAGGUAACUUGCCCAAAAUUUCUUUCGGAUCAGUCUUUACUGGAAAACCCCAACUCGAAUUUUGUUGUUUAUUUGUUGUAUACAGUGAACCAUAUUCAAACAGAGUCUCAAAUUUAUAGUUUAAAUUGAUGGUUCGUCCGGUUGUCCUCUUGAUCUGCUGAUGUUUAGCAGAGCGGCAGGUUCAUUUUGUGACACUAUUUCCACCCAAUGUGAGCAUACGGAGAAUUCACAUCAGUCCAUUUUCCUUUCUAUCAUUCGAAACCCUUAAGAACAGUCCACUAUUCAUGUCUUGUUUCUUAGUGCCCAUUCCGACAGUGUUCAAGCCUUUCUUAAUUUGUCUCUUUGAAAGAGAAGCACCUUGGUUGUUCAGCCCUUCAAUUUUAGGAUAGAUGGAGUUUUGUUGAUUCGCUUGUCUUAAACUUAAUGAUAGUAUCCGUGUGAAAGGGCGCCAUUUCUCAUGGAUACUCUUGACAAAUUUUUUGGAAGAACAUGAAGCUGUGUUGGAAUGAAUGUAUGUAUGUGCUAGUCUGAUUACAAGUAUGUAUGAUAACAUGUGUGAGAGAUUUGGUGGUGGUAUUAGUCACGCAGCUUGGGGCCCCCUGUGUUUAGAUAGUGGCAUUGAGUAGUUUUUUGUGUGCUUCAAUGUUCUUCCAAAAAUUUGUUUGAAAACAGCGAGUUGAAGUAGGAGUUAGACAGGCGCGGAUUAAGUGGAGGGGAAUGGGACUAGUUGCCCCUCCCUUAGGUACUAGAAAGGCCGCCCGGAAGAUAGGCAACAAGCGCUAUGUAGCCCCUGUAUGCAGGCAACAAGCACUACUUCACCCCCGCCUUAGGAAAAUCCUGGACCCGCGCCUGGAGUUAGGAGAUUAUCCAGAUCGUGCAAUUGCCAAUUUGGGCUAUCUAUUUUGCAAUGAUGGUAUUUGAGCCUCCAUCUGUUGAUUUGGAAGGACAAUUCAGCCGAGUAUUUGAGUGAACGCACAGACUUGGUGGCUGCCUCUCAAGCCUCCAUUGGUCAAGCGCCAACAUGUGGCCAGUGUAUGCGGCACUCUCACUGUGUUUGUGCCUUUAAACCUGUGUUACUGAGAGUAACAUUUUGAAGUUGCUUGCACUCACUGCAUUGACCAAGCGCCAACAUGUGGCAAAUGAAUGUGGCACUCUCCUUGCAUUAGCGGUUUAAACCUGUGUUACUGAGAGUAGCAUUUUGUAGCCGGUGCUUCUCCCUACCGUUUUUAUGUUAUGUAUCUUGACAUGGGCUGAACACCUCUUUCUAGUUCUAUUGAUCACCUUCUACCAUUGUCACGCUCACUUUCAAGUCACUGUGUCAUAGAAUCCCAUGAUUCAUUCACAUUUACCCCUUCUGCCUGUGUCUGCAUCCCCUUUCAUGAGGAAGCGUAAUUCAGUGUCAUUUUCUUAAUAUUUGGCCCUGCCAAUGGAACAGUAGGAACAAGCCCCCCCCCCCCCGAUGAGUUAUGAAUUCCAACUCUGUUUGUUUAUGAUGCAUUACUCCUUUUUUUUCUUCUUGUGCUUUGUUACGUCACGUGCUGGUGGUUUUUAACUCAGAGCAGGCACAUGUAUGCUUAGUUUUCUUGAAGUUAAAUGUGCCUCUGUGUUUCAAAUGUAAAUUCUGAUCUGGAGGAUAUAAACGGGCAAGCAUUGAAUACAGUACUAAACAAUGUUCUUAAAGCCAGUUAGAUGAGCCUUUGUUAAAGCUUCUCUUCCAUUCACUUUGAUGCUAGUGAUUGUCAACUGCUCAUACUUCUUGAAAGGUAGUUUCAUUUUAUUUUGAAAUGUUAUGUGCGCAAGUCAGACAGGAAUGUUGCAGUGUAUGUUUAGCCUGUACUCUUACAAUGUUAGUUCUUCUUUAAUUAUUAAUGAUGCUGCGUUGUUGUUUUGAAUGAUAUUUUGAACUUUUGUCUAUUAUGUUCAAGAAUUGCUUCGUUGAGGAUGAAUAGAAAUGUUAAAGCUAAGGUCUUUUCUAAUUAUGUUUUUACGUCCAUGGGGCUUUAAAGAGCUGAACUUGGCUGCAUCACAGGCGGCGCAGAUGCUCAGGUUCCUGAAACUUUAAUUUGUAUCAGAAUUUUGAUUGUGCAUUCCUAUCCUAGGCAUGUUGGUGUGCAAGCAUUCAGCAAACUAGGAAUAUUUUAUAAGCCAAUUAUAUAAGCCCCUGUUUAAGCCUCCCUUAGUUGUAAGUGUGAACUCUUCAUGGUUCUUCUUAGGAAGUUCUAUUUUAUUUAGGAAAGCUUCAUGCAUAAGUUGGACAGGACUGGAUUUAAGUGAAUGUUGAUGGGCCUGCACUCCUACAAUAUCAGUUGUUAGUCAAUUGUGUUGGUGUAUUGCUCUUUGAGUGAAAUUUUUCCUCAUUCCUGAAGUUUCUUGAUGAGUUUUUUUCAAUUCAGAAAUAUGUUUUUGACAAUCAUGUCUCUUAUCUGUAUCACUUCUUCUACUUCUUUUGCCUUUAAAUGUUCAUGUAUUCUUCAUAUUUUUAAACUUUGGAUCCUGUUUGUAUUUUGUCUACUGUUACAUCUGUCACUAGAAGGCUGUUUUCAUCUGUAUAACAGUGCAUUUGCUUAUUCCUUUCAUAGUUGAUUUGUUGAGCUUCUUGUUGUGUUGUUUGAGUUGUGUAUUAUCUAAGUUAGGAUUUGUAUUUUAAUCUGAUGGUCGUGGACAUUAAGCAUGAGCAUUAUUGUUACAAUGUAAUAUCUUUUUUCAUUAAGAUCGAAUGGUGUAUAACUGAUACAAAAUGGGCAAAAAGAAAUAGAAAUAUUGUUUCUCAAAAUAUGUUACCGUAACAAAAAAAAUUGUCAAAUUAAAAAAAAUGUUAAGAGAGAACUUAAAAAAAAUAAAAAAAGCCAAAUGUUAAAAGAGAACUUAAAAAAAAAUGAAAAAAAGCCAAAUGUUAAAA